GGGUGUAAAGUGCGUGUAGGCGGUUAUCCAAGUCGGGUGUGAAAGCCUUGAGCUCAACUCAAGAAAUGCACUCGGUACUGGGUGACUAGAGGACCGGAGAGGAUAGUGGAAUUCCCAGUGUAGUGGUGAAAUACGUAGAGAUUGGGAAGAACACCAGUGGCGAAGGCGGCUAUCUGGACGGUUUCUGACGCUAAGACGCGAAAGCGUGGGGAGCAAACAGGAUUAGAUACCCUGGUAGUCCACGCCGUAAACGAUGGGUGCUAGACGUUGGCGAGCUUGCUCGUCAGUGUCGCAGCUAACGCGUUAAGCACCCCGCCUGGGGAGUACGGCCGCAAGGUUGAAACU
rnacentral:rRNA from 1 species